rnacentral:rRNA from 1 species
UGGGGAAUAUUCCGCAAUGGACGAAACCCUGAUGCAGCAACGCCGCGUGAGUGAUGACGGCCUUCGGGUUGUAAAGCUCUGUCUUCAGGGACGAUAAUGACGGUACCUGAGGAGGAAGCCACGGCUAACUACGUGCCAGCAGCCGCGGUAAUACGUAGGUGGCAAGCGUUGUCCGGAUUUACUGGGCGUAAAGGGAGCGUAGGCGGACUUUUAAGUGAGAUGUGAAAUACCCGGGCUCAACCUGGGUGCUGCAUUUCAAACUGGAAGUCUAGAGUGCAGGAGAGGAGAGUGGAAUUCCUAGUGUAGCGGUGAAAUGCGUAGAGAUUAGGAAGAGCACCAGUGGCGAAGGCGACUCUCUGGACUGUAACUGACGCUGAGGCUCGAAAGCGUGGGGAGCAAACA